CCCUUAGAUGUUCUGGGCUGCACGCGCGCUACACUGAUGCGUUCAACGAGUUUAUGACCUUGCCCGAUAGGGUUGGGUAAUCUUUUUAAAUCGCAUCGUGAUGGGGAUAGACUUUUGCAAUUUUUGGUCUUCAACGAGGAAUUCCUAGUAAACGCAAGUCAUCAACUUGCAUUGAUUACGUCCCUGCCCUUUGUACACACCGCCCGUCGCACCUACCGAUUGAAUGGUCCGGUGAAGCCUCCGGAUUGGCGCGCACCUCGGUGCCGCCGAGAAGUUGGCUAAACCUUACCAUUUAGAGGAAGGUGAAGUCGUAACA
rnacentral:rRNA from 1 species